rnacentral:rRNA from 1 species
CCUACGGGUGGCAGCAGUGAGGAAUAUUGGUCAAUGGCCGGAAGGCUGAACCAGCCAUGCCGCGUGAAGGUCAGUGCCCUAUGGGCGUUAAACUUCUUUUGUGCGGGAGCAAUAAUGGUCACGUGUGGCCAGACGAGAGUACCGUACGAAUAAGCAUCGGCUAACUCCGUGCCAGCAGCCGCGGUAAUACGGGGGAUGCAAGCGUUAUCCGGAUUUAUUGGGUUUAAAGGGUGCGUAGGCUGGGAGGUAAGUCAGCGGUGAAAUGCCCCCGCUCAACGGGGUGAAGUGCCAUUGAUUCUGCCUGGCUGGAAUGCGGAUGCCGUGGGAGGAAUGUGUGGUGUAGCGGUGAAAUGCAUAGAUAUCACACAGAACACCGAUUGCGAAGGCAUCUCACGAAUCCGCGAUUGACGCUGAUGCACGAAAGCGUGGGUAUCAAACAGGAUUAGAUACCCUGGUAGUC